UUUGCUACUACUACGAGUGCCCGCACCAACUGUAGCCCCACAACUUUUUAAUACAGCAUAUACUGUUUGUACUACAUCUUCUCAGGAAGGAACAAUAUGUGAAAUAUCUACUAAAUUAACAGCAUUGGGAGGAGUUGGAACAUGAUCUACGUGCUCUACCAUCCCUCACUGUGACGCCAAACUGAGCCUGUUGGAGAUGCUGUGAGAGGAACACACAUGCACAGCCCCCCCUGCUGGAAACAGACAGACGGAGGAUGGUUUCUCUCCAAGGUGCCAUGGAGGAAAUAGGGCUGAUGUAAUGGGCAUGGGUGUGCCCUGGUUACCAUGGAGACAGUCUGUCAGUGCUGGCCCGGUGCACGUCGCGACACAAAAAAACCCCAGAGCCUACGGCAUGUGGAAGCAGACUCACAAAAUCACAACAAGAUCUUCCCACACACUCCUGGCACAGCUGGGCAAGGUCUUACUCUCUCUACAAGAUGGUUUAGUUUGUGGCCUUGUCAACAAACAACACAACAACACCCAUGCAGCAGCUUGCAGGAGGUAAACAAUGUCAGGGGCUGUUUACUGUGUCGUUUUGUACCUCCAUUCACGCCCCAACAAAA